AGCACUCUCUGAUCUUAAGCCAAUCCUUUUGUCAAUAGGAGGUUGCAGCAUGGGGUUCGUGACAUUUCCUAGUCACAAAAGGACUCACAUUCAACGAGAGGGAAGUUUUCUAAUUGUGGCUGUCACUUCUGUCACACCUCCCUGAACUUUGGGGGUGUCGGGGUGGGGUGAGCACAUGAAAGCAACUGACAAGACCUGUGAGGAUUCCCAGGGAAACACACGGAGAUCGGAAGUUUGAACGCAGCACACAGUCCUGCGUUGGAAUGGCACAGCGAGGCCACAGGCAAGUUCCAGCCCCUUGAUCUUGGACUUCACAGAUGUCAGACCUGCACAAAUGAGCUCAAGCGUUGAAUUGCUUCAUCAUCCUGGAUACUAAAAGUUUGAUUUCAGAAGUUCUCAAGGCGUGCCCAUUUCCAACUUCUGGCAGCAUCUGCAGCAGACAUGCUUGGGGGCCAUUCAUUCCCUCCUCGUUCAUUUCCCAACUCUACUUCCAGCAACAUUUAAUUAAGAUUUCUGGAGCAGACUCCAGGCGAGAUGCUUUAUGUGUAUGACAUCAUUUCCUCCUGACAGUAAUUCAGUAUGCACGACAAUAUCAUGCCCAUUUUCCAAGUGAAAAAAACUGAGGUUGAAAAAGGUAAAACUCUUGGCCAAGUAUGUAGCAAAGAAGUGAUGGAGUCCAGAUGUGAUCAAAGGUUGCGUCCUAAUUCCAGGACUUCAGGCCACCUUGUCACUUAGAUUGGUCGGGAGUUCUACUUGAUCAUAAAAUUUGGUGAAACGGUUGUUUUGUCCCAUUUUUUUUUUCCUGGCAAUAUUGUGUGGCGACAUAGUGUCUGCUAGCAUUAUGCAUUUAGUGACAUCUUAGGACAGCUCCUAUGUCCUGUGCAUAACUCAGACACCAGCUGUUAAAGUGCUUCCUUUCAAAUGAGGAUCAUGGGGACGGGCAAGUGACUCGUUCCCUCCUUCUAAAUCCAAGACACAAAGGACUCUGACUGUGGCAGGACCUUCCUCUUCUCCAAGUCUGAUCGGGGAGGUUGACAUCACUGAGCACA